UCGAGGACUUAACCACACACCUAUGGAUGAUGUUUUACCCUUGUUUUUUCGCUUCUGGUUUUGAAGGAACAUGACGCACAUCUUGUGCGGAUGCUUCUUUAAAAAGUUUGUUUGGACUGCAAUAUUAUGUUGCGCUUUAACAAACUACAUAAAAAGGUUUGUCAGAACGAAAGUUAUCACAAACCGUAUAAAGGUUUGUUAGAACCAAGAAAUUCGAGAAAGCCAAUGACACAUUACCGGAGUGUACAACUUGCGUACAUGAGGAUAAUGAGGAAUGCAGCUGACGAAGAAGUUUGCAGGUUAUCACAAACCGCAAGGUCUGGCGGCAAUAGCGAAGAGGUCACACCCGUUCCCAUCCCGAACACGGUCGUUAAGCUCUUCAGCGCCGAUGGUAAUUGGGGGCUUCCCCCUGUGAGAGUAGGACGUCGCCAGGC
rnacentral:rRNA from 1 species